CCAGGAGAAGAUGGUGGAUUGCUGCAGUUUCACCCUAGGAAGCAAACAGUAAACAUGUAUGUUAUCAGAAACAGCCCAUAAAAUGGAUAUAGACAAGUUCUGGUCUGGACCCAAGAACCUAAUGGAAGGAUUCAGCUAAAGAAAUAGCUGCAUUUAAAGAACUCUCUAAAUACGUGGAAGGAAUACAGUUAUCAGAAUGCCCCUGUGGUCCAGUCUGGUGUAGCUUCCACAACCUUUAUUUGCAGAAUGGAUAGCGCAUAAGGGAAUAUGUGCCAACUCUUCGCAUGGUCGUAAGAUGUUUCCAUGCUGCCCUUUUGCUACUAAUCAACAACUGAGAACCCUUGUGCAGUUUUUGCUGGAACAUCCAUGGAUUACUUGCCUCACGACAGUAACCUACACAGUUGUCCGUUUGUUGACCCCUCUGUAUUAUUACUGGAAGUGGCACCAUGUGCAGUUCAAUUUUGAAAGCCCAAAUCCCAAGACAGAUCCUCUGCUUCAUUCACUCCAUAUCUAAUUCAUCACCAGCUCUUGUCAGAUGUACCUCCUCCAGGUAAUUCAUCUCGUAUCCCUCUUUCCAUGUUCACUGUCACUACCCUACUCCAACCCACCCACUUCCCCUGCCUAGAAUAAAACAAUAGCCUAAUUGGCAUCUUUUUAUCCACAUUUGAUGUUCUUCAAUCCAUUCUUUACAUUGACAAUGAAAUGGUUUUUCCAAAAUGUAAAUAUAAUACUCCCACCUUAAAAUUAGAUAGCUUUCCCUGACUCUCAGGGUAAAGCUGAAAUCCCUAUUUGGCCAGUGAGGCCCUCCAUGGUCUCUUCCUAUCUGUCCACUCUCACAAUGUAUUACUUUUAAUGAGUUGCUCUGCUCCAGAGA